rnacentral:tRNA from 1 species
GGGGUUGUGGCUCAGGGGUAGAGCGCCCGCCUAGCACGGGUGAAGCCCUGGGUUCGAUCCCCAGCACCACA